rnacentral:rRNA from 1 species
GACGUAGGGGGGCCAGCGUUGCUCGGAAUUACUGGGCGUAAAGGGUCCGUAGGCGGUGCGGUAAGUCGGGAGUGAAAUCUCUGGGCUUAACUCAGAGGCUGCUUCCGAAACUACCGUGCUAGAGUGCGAGAGAGGCAAGUGGAAUUGCGGGUGUAGCGGUGAAAUGCGUAGAUAUCCGCAGGAACAUCCGAGGCGAAAGCGGCUGCUGGAUCGCAACUGACGCUGAGGGACGAAAGCUAGGGGAGCAAACAGG